UCGGGGGAAGAGUCCCGGAGGAGAGCCUGGAACCCGGGCUGGAGGGCAGCCACACCCACAGACGCGGACGCCUCUGCCCGAUUCUCCUGAAAGAAAUCGUGCUGCUCCAGUUUCAGGGACCCCGGGCGUCCCGGGAGAGUGUGGUUUUGCUGACAGCACCGCCUAAGGAAGCAGAGAGUUUUGGUCUCUGACAGUGGCAGGCACUGGUAGCGUGGCCGCUAAUACAGCCUGUCAGUGCCGUUGAGGAAAGUUUGCUGUGGCGCCCUUGUAGCUGCCUGGGCCCCGAGCAGAACCCUGGGCCGUGCGUGGUCGGGUGUCAGGUCAGAUGUGCCCGAUUCCUUGUGAGCUGGAGCCACAGGUGCCACGCACUGUGAGGGAAGCCUGUGGCAGAAACCAUCACGCAGUCCCGCGUACACGUCGGAUCAUUGAGCCAUUGCGUCAGUCACAGACUAGCUAUCACCAGGCUCCUUAUUAGAUGAACAAACUAACCAUCUUGCUUUUCCAGAAAGCAAAGAUGGACUCAAAGCCUAAUGGGACAUGUCUAAAGGACGCAGGAAGCAUCAUGAAGGACCUUCGCUGGCCACAUCUGAGAUCAUUUGAACACCAAAAAGUAAUGGCUACAAUUUAUUGUAAUACUUUAAAUAAAUAGAUAAAAAUCCCUGA